CUUAUGUACAUGUUGAAGUAGGUUCUAUGGUUAGUAUGAUCGACUCUUCAAGACUACUUAGUAAUAUAAUGCAUAACAAAGGUAUUAUACUAAAUAUAAAAAAUGAAGUUGAAAAAAGCAUCAACACAAACAAUCAACAACAAAGACAAAUAACCUAUCUACAAGAAAUGGGUGUGCAAGAAAAUAAAGAAAACAUAAAAGUUCUCUAUCAGCUAUCUAACUACCCAAUAGUGAAACAAACAUUAAGAUUAAGAGGGGAAAAGGAUGGCCGUUGAAAGAGCAGCAACCAACUUUAACCUACUUAGAAAUUGUAAGGGAUGCAUAGACCACGACCCUCUGUUGAUUUGUUGGUGGCCUGCCUCACCAUGUGUUAUUUUAAUAAGCC
rnacentral:lncRNA from 1 species